rnacentral:rRNA from 1 species
AUUGAACGCUGGCGGCAGGCCUAACACAUGCAAGUCGAACGAGUGGCGGACGGGUGAGUAAUGUCUGGGAAACUGCCCGAUGGAGGGGGAUAACUCCUGGAAACGGUAGCUAAUACCGCAUACCAUCGGAUGUGCCCAGAUGGGAUUAGCUAGUAGGUGGGGUAACGGCUCCCCUAGGCGACGAUCCCUAGCUGGUCUGAGAGGAUGACCAGCCACACUGGAACUGAGACACGGUCCCGACUCCUACGGGAGGCAGCAGUGGGGAAUAUUGCACAGUGGGCGCAAGCCUGAUGCAGCCAGGCCACGUGUAUGAGGAAGGCCUUCGGGUGGUAAAGUACUUUCAGCGAGGAGGCGUUACUCGCAGAAGAAGCCCCGGCUAACUCCGUGCCAGCAGCCGCGGUAAUUC